UCAAAGCCAAGCUGUCCUGUAUUGUAUUGUAGGGCCCAAACUGUUGUGGGCUCCUCUCUCUUAAGCAUGGCGUGGGGAGAAAUGAGAUCGGAGUCGAUGGGAGAUAGUGAAGCUCGAGAAGUAGGAAAAGUUGCCACUGAGAAACUGUACGAGGCAGGCGGGGAUGGAGAGGAGGAGGAUGAAUUAAGUUCCAGAUGAGAAGAAGCAACACAACUGAGAUUUGGAGGUGGGAGAGGAUGUGGUCCAAGGCUUGCUUCAUUGGGUUGUUAUAAAGAGCGAACACUAAGAUGUUCGUGAAUUUCAUUCAACAUACAUGAAGUGAGAAUUUUUUCUUUCAUUAAUAAAAAGAUAAGCAGUUA